rnacentral:lncRNA from 1 species
UAGCCAUGGUGCGACCCAGCCUAUUUAAUGGUCCGGAUCUGAUGAUGGCCCAUAUGUAUUUAUUAUGACAAUGGAAGAGUCCUUAUUAAAAUAGAAUUGUGUUUCCUUAUUUGGAGGGAUAAGGAGUCCUUCUCCUAGUAGGAUACGGGUGGAGGUGGCUUCUAUAUAUAUGGCUACAAGCUAGGGUUUGAAGAAAGAAUAUCAUAGAACACAACAACUUGUACUCUCCAUAUACACAUCUUGUACUCCCAAUAUUAUUAUAGUGGAUUACUCUCUCUCCCCGUGGUUUUUUCCCAAUUGGGUUUCCACGUAAAUUAUUGUGUUCAUGAUUUAUAUUUCUU